GGGCAAAAGCAGUCUCUCUCUCUCUCUCUCUCUCUCUCUCUCUCUCUCUCUCUGUGUGUGUGUGUGUGUGUGUGUGAGAGAGAGAGAGAGAGAGAGAGAGAGAGAUUUUAAUCAG